AUGACGAGAUGAUGGAUGUUUCCUUUAGAGAUGAUGUUGAACAGGGUUACAUGAUUACUACCGGCGUUUCAAUUUAUUGGAUUGCUAAGAUGAUUAAUCGCAGACUUCUUGGUGUUUAACUCGGUAAAUGCUUAUGUCCAUUGAAACUAGAGAAUCAUUUUGAGCCGAUCAUGAAUUGCAAGAAGGGGAAUAUAGAAUAUCACUAUGAUAGUGACGAAAAUGGCACUCCUCAGAUAAAGAAAUUGAAAUCUACUUCGUGCAAAAGAAAUGUUCCGUAAGAAUUAUUAAACGAUGAGAAAUAGUCAUCGUAGUUGGUACUGUGUGAAAAGAAUGCAAGGAGAGGCUAUUGCAAACUCGGUAAUUGUGAGAUAGUUAAUAGCUUUAGCAAUAGAGAAUGACAAAAACAAAUGUAAAAAGAAAUAAAAAACUGAUGACAGUUAAGAAUGUUAUUCGUUGUUUCAUUUACUAAUAAACUAUGUAAAGAGUA
rnacentral:lncRNA from 1 species